rnacentral:rRNA from 1 species
AGGACGAACGCUGGCGGCGCGCUUAACACAUGCAAGUCGAGCGAGAACCUUUCCUUCGGGAUUGGGGACAGCGGCGAACGGGUGAGUAACACGUGGGUAAUCUGCCCUUGACAUCGGGAUAGCCCGGGGAAACCCGGAUUAAUACCGAAUAGCCUCCGGAGCCCUCGGGCGCCGGAGAAAAGGUAGCUUCGGCCUCUGGUCAAGGAUGAGCCCGCGGCGGAUUAGCUUGUUGGCGGGGUAAUGGCCCACCAAGGCGACGAUCCGUAGCUGGUCUGAGAGGACGAUCAGCCACACUGGGACUGAGACACGGCCCAGACUCCUACGGGAGGCAGCAGUGGGGAAUCUUGCGCAAAUGCGGGAAACCGUGACGCAGCGACGCCGCGUGGGGGAAGAAGGCCUUCGGUUGUAAACCUCUUUCAGGAGGGACGAAGCGUACUCGGGUUAAUAGCUCAGAGGGUGACGGUACCUUCAGAAGAAGCCCGGCUAACUACGUAGCCAGCAGCCGC